ACACGACUACAUUAGAUACCCGCGUAGUCCUAGCCGUAAACGAUACUCGCUAGGUGUCGGCCACGGUGCGACCGUUGUCGGUGCCGUAGGGAAGCCGUGAAGCGAGCCACCUGGGAAGUACGGCCGCAAGGCUGAAACUUAAAGGAAAUUGGCGGGGGAGCACCACAACGGGUGGAGCUUGCGGUUUAAUUGGACUCAACGCCGGGAAGCUCACCGGAUAAGACAGCGGAAUGAUUGCCGGGCUGAAGACCCUGCAUGACCAGCUG
rnacentral:rRNA from 1 species